rnacentral:rRNA from 1 species
CACCAGACUCCUACGGGAGGCAGCAGUGGGGGAUAUUGCACAAUGGGGGGAACCCUGAUGCAGCGACGCCGCGUGGGUGAAGGAGCGUUUCGGCGCGUAAAGCCCUAUCGGCAGGGAAGAAGGAGGACGGUACCUGACUAAGAAGCCCCGGCUAACUACGUGCCAGCAGCCGCGGUAAUACGUAGGGGGCAAGCGUUAUCCGGAUUUACUGGGUGUAAAGGGGGCGCAGACGGCAGCGCAAGCCAGGAGUGAAAGCCCGGGGCUCAACUGCGGGACUGCUUUGGAAACUGUUCAACUGGAGUGCUGGAGAGGUAAGCGGAAUUCCUAGUGUAGCGGUGAAAUGCGUAGAUAUUAGGAGGAACACCAGUGGCGAAGGCGGCUUACUGGACAGUAACUGACGUUGAGGCUCGAAAGCGUGGGGAGCAAACAGGAUUAGAUACCCCGGUA